AUUGAACGCUGGCGGCAGGCCUAACACAUGCAAGUCGAGCGGUAGAGAGGUGCUUGCAUCUCUUGAGAGCGGCGGACGGGUGAGUAAUGCCUAGGAAUCUGCCUGGUGGUGGGGGAUAACGUUCGGAAACGGACGCUAAUACCGCAUACGUCCUACGGGAGAAAGCGGGGGAUCUUCGGACCUCGCGCCAUUAGAUGAGCCUAGGUCGGAUUAGCUAGUUGGUGAGGUAAUGGCUCACCAAGGCGACGAUCCGUAACUGGUCUGAGAGGAUGAUCAGUCACACUGGAACUGAGACACGGUCCAGACUCCUACGGGAGGCAGCAGUGGGGAAUAUUGGACAAUGGGCGAAAGCCUGAUCCAGCCAUGCCGCGUGUGUGAAGAAGGUCUUCGGAUUGUAAAGGCACCUUUAAGUUGGGAGGUAAGGGUAGGUAACCUAAUACGUUGCUACUUUGACGUUACCGACAGAAUAAGCACCGGCUAAC
rnacentral:rRNA from 1 species